CAUUACCUAAAAGUUAAGCAAGUUGUGUACCCUUUACUUCUCCCCUUUUUACUUUUCCCCUUUUCUCCAACUUUCUCCCACACAACAACCUAGUUUCAGCUCCUUGGUUCUCGCAUUCUUGGUGUCAUUUUGGUUAUCUGUGAGGUUAGGUUAUCAAAAACGUUAGGGUGAAGGUCAAACUCUUUACCCUCUUUGUUCUAAAGCUAGUUUGGUGGUUGGGCUAUGGCUUCUAGCAUGGAGAUGAAAAAUCUAGUUGAAUACUAAAGGCAAAGGCCUAAAGCAUAUAUAGUUCCCAGAAAGUCCCAAGCCUUGAUUCCAUCAGAGAGUGCCCUCAAGCUGUCCUAACUUUCUCAGAACUUAAUUCUUAAGGGAUCCUAAAGCAGGAUUAGUAGGUGUGUACAUAUGGUACACUUCAACACAAAAGCAAAACUUUUCUUUUUCUAUAUCCUUGUUUUUGUCGUUAAUGUAACUAAUUUAAUCAUUUGGUAAAGGUCUUUCUAGGUUAUAAUAUCAUUAAUUUGUUGCAUCACUUUCUUUUGGCCCUUUAAUUUGAGUUUAGUAUGAGAAGUGCCAUAGAUACUAUGAUACAGCUACUAAUUUGGUUGAUUUGUGGUAUAUAUAAUGUGGGAAACCCAAGAUUUGGUUA